UGGAGGCGGAACAGGGGAAGAAGAUGGAGUUGAUCACGAAAAGGAUGGGAUCUGUGCUCAAACAUGGACGCGGCUGAAUCUGGGAAGUUUGGACGCAGAAGGAGAUAAGGAUGCUGGGAGAUGAUUACGGACGCAAGGGAAAAUCUGGGAAUGAUUCAGUUUGAAGUUUUUAUGCAGCUAGGAACAGGCCAUCGGCUCUGUUCUUUGGACGUGGAGGUUUGGAUUUAUCCGGACGAUGGCUGACCGUGGGAAGCUGGGAGGAUGCGUUUGGUUAUCGUGAAGCUCAGGAGGAUGAAGUCUGGGAAUCGGCUGAAGAGCUGAUCCAGAAGAUGCUUGGUGGUUCUUCGGAUGGGAUGAUGGCUCUAUUCCUUGGGAGGAUGAGCUCGGGAAGGACGUGGAGGAGAUCGUGGAGAACAGGGGAUGUUUCGGUUCUGGAUGAAUGUCAUGGAACAAGGGAGUUGGAACCAUUUGAGCAGAGGAGAUGCUGGGAUUCGGGUUCACUGGCUUGAUCCGAAGGAUAGUGUUGCCCAAAAAGACAACCCAAGAGGGGGGGGGGUGAAUUGGGUUUUAAAUAAUAAUUGCAAAUUAGAAACUUAAUGAGUAACUAAUUAAACUUUUUGCAAGUGGAUUAAUUAGUUUACUAUAUGCAGUGGAUGAGGGAAAUGGGAGAGACAAUAAAACAAUCACAAACACAAGAGAUUUUAUAGUGGUUCGGAGCUAACCCUUGCUCCUACGUCCACUCCCCAAGCAUC
rnacentral:lncRNA from 1 species